rnacentral:rRNA from 1 species
AUGAAAUUCUACAUCACACACAAAGGAAAAAAGAAAAUUGGGGUGGUGUUGAAACUCGAUUUCAAAAAAGCAUAUGAUAAGAUCAAUUGGAAUUUCCUUCUUGAAUGCCACAGCAAUAGGGGUUUUGGCCCGGUGUGGUGUGGGUGGAUCCAGAAUAUCCUUAAGAAUGGGACCAUUAAUAUCAAAUUGAAUAAUGAAAAAGGUCCUUACUUCCAAAGCUACAAGGGAGUGUGA